UACGGAGGAUGCGAGCGUUAUCCGGAUUUAUUGGGUUUAAAGGGUGCGUAGGCGGAUUUUUAAGUCAGCGGUAAAAUGUCCGGGCUCAACCCGGGCCGGCCGUUGAAACUGGGGAUCUUGAGUGGGCGAGAAGUAUGCGGAAUGCGUGGUGUAGCGGUGAAAUGCAUAGAUAUCACGCAGAACUCCGAUUGCGAAGGCAGCAUACCGGCGCCCGACUGACGCUGAGGCACGAAAGUGUGGGGAUCGAACAGG
rnacentral:rRNA from 1 species